UACAAAGAAAACCUGUAGAUCGUGAG
rnacentral:piRNA from 1 species